AUUGAACGCUGGCGGAAUGCUUUACACAUGCAAGUCGAACGGCAGCACGGGGCAACCUGGUGGCGAGUGGCGAACGGGUGAGUAAUACAUCGGAACGUGCCCAAUCGUGGGGGAUAACGUAGCGAAAGUUACGCUAAUACCGCAUACGAUCUACGGAUGAAAGCGGGGGAUCGCAAGACCUCGCGCGAGUGGAGCGGCCGAUGUCAGAUUAGGUAGUUGGUGGGGUAAAGGCUCACCAAGCCAACGAUCUGUAGCUGGUCUGAGAGGACGACCAGCCACACUGGAACUGAGACACGGUCCAGACUCCUACGGAGGCAGCAUGGGAAUUUGGACAAUGGGCGCAAGCCUGAUCCAGCCAUUCCGCGUGCAGGAUGAAGGCCUCGGUUGUAACUAGCUUUGUUACGG
rnacentral:rRNA from 1 species